CGGGUGAGUAACACGUAUGCAACCUGCCUGUAAGCGGGGAAGUAACCCGUUGAAAGACGGACUAAUACCGCAUAAUACUAAAUUACUGCAUGGUAAUUUAUUUAAACAUUUAUGGCUUACAGAUGGGCAUGCGCAUGAUUAGCUAGUUGGAGAGGUAACGGCUCCCCAAGGCAACGAUCAUUAGGGGUUCUGAGAGGAAGGUCCCCCCACACUGGUACUGAGACACGGACCAGACUCCUACGGGAGGCAGCAGUGAGGAAUAUUGGUCAAUGGACGAGAGUCUGAACCAGCCAAGUCGCGUGCAGGAAGAAUUGUCCUAUGGAUUGUAAACUGCUUUUGCAGGGGAAUAAAGUGCAUCACGUGUGAUGUUUUGUUAUGUACUCUGCGAAUAAGGAUCGGCUAACUCCCGUGCCAGCCGCCGC
rnacentral:rRNA from 1 species